rnacentral:tRNA from 1 species
AUAUAAAUAAGCUAAAUUUUAAGCUAUUAGGCUCAUACCCUGAAUAUAGAUUAAUCAUCUUUUAUAUA